rnacentral:rRNA from 1 species
UACAGAGGUCUCAAGCGUUGUUCGGAUUCAUUGGGCGUAAAGGGUGCGUAGGUGGCGGGGUAAGUCAGGUGUGAAAUCUCGGAGCUCAACUCCGAAACUGCACUUGAUACUGCCUUGCUCGAGUACUGGAGAGGAGAUUGGAAUUUACGGUGUAGCAGUGAAAUGCGUAGAUAUCGUAAGGAAGACCAGUGGCGAAGGCGGCUCACUGGCUCGGUACUGACGCUGAGGUGCGAAAGCGUGGGGAGCAAACAGG